rnacentral:rRNA from 1 species
AUGGCCUGUGGUUUCUUUCUUUCUCAGGAAAGAUAUGUGGAGGAGCUUCUUGAUCGUGCUGCUAUGUCCAAUUGUAAGCCUGUCUUCACGCCUGUUGACACGAAACCCAAGGUCUCCUCUUCCGCUAGUGAACUUGUGUCCGAUGCCACCUUCUACAGAAGUAUUGCUGGUGCUAUUCAAUACCUCACCUUGACACGUCCAGACAUCGCCACUACUUCUCACGAGCUUAGGAUCGCCGGCAGUUCCUCCAUUGCGAUUGCUGCUUAUUCGGAUGCUGACUGGGCUGGCUGUCCAGACACUCGCCGGUCUACUUCAGGAUAUUGCAUUUAUCUCGGCGACACUUUGGUGUCUUGGUCCUCCAAACGCCAACCUACUGUCUCUCGCUCGAGUGCUGAGGCCGAAUACUGUGCGGUGGCUAACACCGUGGCUGAAUGUUGCUGGCUUCGUCAACUUCUUGUCGAGCUCCAUUGUGUUAUUGACAAGGCUUCUGUGGUGUUCUGUGAUAAUAUAUCUGUGGUAUACCUCUCUGCUAACCCCGUUCAUCAUUGUUGGAUGAAGCAUAUUGAGUUGGACAUUCAUUUUGUAUGCGAGAAGGUGGCUUUGGGACAGUUUCGUGUUGUUCACAUCCCAACGACUCAUCAACUUGCAGACAUCAUGACUAAGGGGCUUCCUUUGUCUUCAUUCAAAGCUUUUUGA